AACCGCGGAAGGAGUUUAUAAUGGUUCC
rnacentral:piRNA from 1 species